CCCCAGAUAGCAAUGUUUGUUGGGCCAAUGUUGGACCAACAUUGGCCAUCAUUGGGCCUACGUUGGCCAAUGUUGGCCCAACGAACAUUGCUAUCAGGCACUUCUUGUACAAUUUC